UGAUAUCUUGAAGAUCCUUGAAGUCAGAUUUUAUUCCUUCUUAUAUUAAAAUUCAAAAGAGUCAAAAUUAAAUUAAGCAAUAAUGUAUUAAUAAACAAUCACCGUUCUUUAAUGUUUAUUCAUUUCGUUCGUGUAUAUUUUAGAAAUUAAGAAAUGAAAACUGUAACUGUACUAUUAAAGUUCAAUUUUCGUAUCGUUUAUAUGCCUUACGGAAAACCGACCUUUUCCGGAAUCGACUUUUGUUUUAUCACCGGAAAUGAUUUUGAAAUUUGAAUUUCGAAACGAAGACAGUAUAUCAACAAAGAGCCAAGAAAAUUGUUUGUUACGCGAUAUAUACUCACUUGGAGCUAAAAGAAAAGCCACAAAGGACAAGUUCAAUAUGCAGGUUUACAAUUUGGAAGUGGUGCAGGUUCUUUGAAAUGUCUACAACCUUUCAAGAGAAUUUUUUUUUGAAAAGCAUGGCACAGCAAGAAAAAGAUAUAAGACACUACAAGACAUUCCAAGUGAUUUUGAAUAAGACAAUUGAUUGACUUUUUCAAUGUAUUCUUAAAUAAAUCAAAUAGUUGAUGUAAAA